rnacentral:rRNA from 1 species
GAUGAACGCUAGCGGCAGGCUUAACACAUGCAAGUCGAGGGGUAACAGGAGAGCUUGCUCUUGCUGACGACCGGCGCACGGGUGCGUAACGCGUAUAGAACCUACCUUUAACAGAGGGAUAGCCCAGAGAAAUUUGGAUUAAUACCUCAUAAUAUUAUGGAAUUGCAUGAUUUUGUAAUUAAAGAAUUUCGGUUAGAGAUGGCUAUGCGUCUUAUUAGCUAGUUGGUAAGGUAACGGCUUACCAAGGCAACGAUAAGUAGGGGUCCUGAGAGGGAGAUCCCCCACACUGGUACUGAGACACGGACCAGACUCCUACGGGAGGCAGCAGUGAGGAAUAUUGGACAAUGGGCGAGAGCCUGAUCCAGCCAUGCCGCGUGUAGGAAGACUGCCCUAUGGGUUGUAAACUACUUUUAUAUAGGAAGAAACAGUGGUACGUGUACUACUCUGACGGUACUAUAAGAAUAAGCAUCGGCUAACUCCG